GGUGAACGCUGGCGGUAGGCCUAACACAUGCAAGUCGAACGGCAGCACAGUAAGAGCUUGCUCUUACGGGUGGCGAGUGGCGGACGGGUGAGGAAUACAUCGGAAUCUACUUUUUCGUGGGGGAUAACGUAGGGAAACUUACGCUAAUACCGCAUACGACCUACGGGUGAAAGCAGGGGAUCUUCGGACCUUGCGCGAUUGAAUGAGCCGAUGUCGGAUUAGCUAGUUGGCGGGGUAAAGGCCCACCAAGGCGACGAUCCGUAGCUGGUCUGAGAGGAUGAUCAGCCACACUGGAACUGAGACACGGUCCAGACUCCUACGGGAGGCAGCAGUGGGGAAUAUUGGACAAUGGGCGCAAGCCUGAUCCAGCCAUACCGCGUGGGUGAAGAAGGCCUUCGGGUUGUAAAGCCCUUUUGUUGGGAAAGAAAAGCAGCAGGUUAAUACCCCGCUGUUCUGACGGUACCCGAAGAAUAAGCACCGGCUAACUUCGUG
rnacentral:rRNA from 1 species